rnacentral:rRNA from 1 species
UACGUAGGUGGCAAGCGUUGUCCGGAUUUAUUGGGUUUAAAGGGUGCGUAGGCGGCCCUGUAAGUCAGUGGUGAAAUACUCUAGCUUAACUAGAGGGGUGCCAUUGAUACUUCAGGGCUUGAGUACAGACGAGGUAGGCGGAAUUGAUGGUGUAGCGGUGAAAUGCAUAGAUAUCGUCAAGAACUCCGAUAGUGAAGACAGCUUACUAGGCUGUAACUGACGCUGAGGCACGAAAGUGUGGGGAUCAAACAGG